ensembl:lncRNA
UCACGGAGUAACAAAUAACUGUAAAUGUAUUAUUAUUAUUCCAAAAAAAUGACUUACCAAAUGUCCACAUAUAUACAACAUGACCUGCCGGUAAGUCGCUCUACAAGAUGACCGACGACGACGCCUUCUAGCAGAGAUAUCCAUUUCAAGAGCCAUUCGCGUAGAAAGAGACAUUUUUUUAUUUAAUAGCAACGAUAACAAGACGGGAAACAGGUACAUUUUGCCGCCAUCUGGGGGAGAUACGUCAUCUCCAAACAUCCGGUGGAGUUUCGGCGGCGUUCUACGCAUGUCUGUAGACCGUACUACACAGUCAAGUGUAGUAUGGUCAAGUAGUAGACACUAGACAGAAAUAGUAUGUACUAGGUAUUCGGAUGCAGCCUUAGACAUUCCUACUUUUAACUUGUCAUUUCAAAUGUCUUUUUUAGUAGAGACACAUAUUAUUUCGUAUACAAAUUAUAUUAGCUAAGUCAAAUAAACCAAAGACAGAAGCGGGAGAACGUAUUUCCGUCUGGUCCAUGAUACUGCGCGGAAUUUUCCUUAAAUGUGGGCGGGCUUAAACGUUUAAGCCCGCCCACAUUUAGCUCCUCCUCGAUCUGCGGGCUGCAGUCAGGGGCACUUGAAUUUUCUUGCGCCAAUGAAAAGCUGUCUCUGCUUGAUAGACAACAAAAAGUUAGCGAGCUUACAUCGACUUCAACGUGGCCGGUGUUGUGAGUAACCCCUGACUGCAGCCCGCAGAUCGAGGAGGAGCUAAAUGUGGGCGGGGUUAAACGUUUAACACCGCCCACAUUUAAGGAAAAUUCCGCGCAGCAUCAUGGACUCAGACGGAAAUACGUUCUCCCGCUUUCUGCAGAACUCCAAGUGCCCCUGACUUCAGCCCGCAGAUCGAGGAGGAGCUAAAUGUGGGUGGGUCUAAACGUUUAACCCAUGGUUUUACCCUCUCGGGCGCCAUCUGGUGGCGGAGAUCCGGCAGCACAUUCUCAAACAUCAAUACAGCACAGCACAGCACACAGCACGAUGACUUACCGGUAAUAUGGAAAGAAGUUCAUGCAUUUGAUAGACUUAGACAUUCCUACUUUUAACUUGUCAUUUCAAAUGUAUUUUUUAGUAUAGACACAUAUUAUUUCGUACACUCAAUUAUAUUAGCCAUGUCAAAUACGGAACGGAAAUACGUAUUUCCGUCUGAGUCCAUGAUGCUGCGCGGAAUUUUCCUUAAAUGUGGGCGGGGUUAAACGUUUAACCCCGCCCACAUUUAGCUCCUCCUCGAUCUGCGGGCUGCAGUCAGGGGCACUUGGGUGUUGUGCCGAAUUUCGACCCCCCCGCGUAUUACGACCCCCCUUCGCGUGAACGCGCAUUCGCUUAUUGUCAACGCCCCAUACUUUCAUUUAGUUCGAGGCGCUCUUCCUUCUGACAAUAUUAGUCAAAUUUAGUGUUUAUAUUCUAUCACAACAUCACAGGUUGAGCAACUUAUCACAGAAAGCGAUGGCAUAUUUUAGAUUGUAAGUUUGAAGACGAACACAUCGCAAUGGAACCUCCGACAGCGACGACCCAUGUACGCUACAACAUUCACGAUAAUGAACUACGAGAGCACUUACAUACGUAAUAGUUAAAAGUAAUACAUUAAUGCAUUAUGUUAUUUACUCAUAUUAAUUUUGACAACCUCUUGGUAGCCUACCCUGGAAAGCACAUUUAACUGUGACUGAUCCAAAACUAAGGAAAUCCUUUACUAGGUACAGACUCAGUGAGCACAGCCUCGCCUACGAGAGAGUGAAGGAUAUUGGAUAUAUUGGAUAUACAUUGAAUAUAUCCAAUAAAUAUUUUCGAUAUAUUGUAUAUAUACUGUAUAUACUGUAUAUAUUCAAUAUCCAGCCAAUUUAGCCUGCCAUAUUCAUCACCCAUCUCCUAUUUCUUGUUUGUUUUCACCACAACCGUACUGUGCCUUUUUUUAAUAUUACCUAUAUAUGGAUUACCGUGCAUCGACCAGUUUGCCUGACUAAUGUAGUCUUCAACUCAUAGCCUGCUCCCUGCCUGGACUUCGCCUACCCAUCAAAUUUCCUGUGUAUGACCUCCUGCCUGUCCCUUGACCCAUCUCCAGCCUACUUCUUGGGAAUUGUGUUAAUAAACAUUCUAUCAUGCUCUGCGCUUGAAACCUAUUCUU